rnacentral:lncRNA from 1 species
GCCGCUGGGUGCACAAGGGUGUUUGUUUUCCGUAUUAAGCUCCUGAGCAAGGGGGGCAUCAGACGGCUAAUCCCCCCUCAAUGCCUUUCCCCGGAGAGCGACCGCCGUGGGGCCGGACCCUGCUCCCAGGAAUGCUGAUGUGCUGUGUCCUGCGAGGGUGGACGUGGCUGGGGUCCCCUCCAUGCCCUGAGUAGGCUGUCAGUCCCCACAGCGGGCCAUGGUGGGCAGCUCAGAGCAGCCCCAAGGCCUCUCCAGGCCAGGGCUGAACCUGGAUGAACCACGGCACAUGGUGACUGCUCGGGAUGGCUGCUGGCAGCAGCUGCUCUGCCACCAGCUCAGCACCACAGCCACGAUGUUCCUGCAGUAUCAGCUCUCCUGCCUAUGCCCUUAUCCCACCUGCAGCACCAGUGCACAGGGCAGAACAUGGAGGGGCCUCCACUGGCACGGCAGCUCCCACAGAAGUGAACCAGCAUUGUUUAACCAGAGCUCUCACUGGCAAAGCAUUUCCUCCGCUCAGAGACUUGUUUGCCAGCACAGACAUUCCUCUGUCCCGCAGAGCAAAUCAUCGGCUGCAGCCUCUCUUCGUGCUGGCCUCUGCUGCCUGUCAUUGCUCCUGUGCUGGCUCGUUCCUCCCCAGGCUGUCCCUUCACCAGGAUGGAGCCAAGGGUGCAGCUGUGGCACCCUGGCCAUGCCGCUUCGGCUGUGCUGUGCCACUCUGGCUGCUCCUGACCAUGCACAGGCUUCUUCUCACUGCCCAGCAAUGGUCAUUUUUACUCUGGGAUCUUCUAACCCCUCACUGGGUUCUUUCUUUUCUAUCUUGUGGAGUUACAGCUGCUUCUGACUGCAGCCCUCUGUUCUCUGUUUUGGGUGCUGGUGCACUUGCUCACUGGCAGAGCAAGGAACUGAAAAAUAUGUUGGACUUGAAUAAACUCCAAGCAACACCUGACCCAUCAGUGUGUUAUCAAUAUUCUUGUACUAAAGGCAAAAGCCAGCCCUAUACCAGCUGUUGGGAAAAUUACAAUGAAAU